rnacentral:misc_RNA from 1 species
AUAUGUUCCUUUAUGAAUUUUCUAAAUAUCAUGUUUACCUUUUUUGGGGAUAUUUUUCCCAAAAUUACAAUUAUCAAAUUACAUCAAAUUAGUUCGGUAUUCCUCGCUUAGGUACAAUCUUUUCGUUCAGAAAUAAAAGGGUUAUUACUUACCUGGAUAUUUCCCCGUGACGAGGAUCCAUAGCGAGGAACAACCUGAAGUUCUCAUGAGCUUGCACGCAAGCCAUUCAAUCGGUCCAAAAUUGCUGGGCUGCAGAGAUUCACCUGGUCGAGCAGUAACCACGUGCCAUUUUGUAGACACUGCAAUGGAGAAUGGAAUUCCCUUAUCGGUUUCCUUUGAAGCCCAACGCUUUGAUAACAGAUUUCAUAGAAGCCAAUCAUUCAUCUUAAUUUUCCAUUCCUUUAACGGAUAAGAUUAUAAAUGGCAACAGAAAAUUUGUAUUAAAAAUAGAUAGAAAGCGAAGAAACUAUCAUUAGAAGCAAAAAGCCAUAUAAUAUAAGAACAAAUACAAAUGGAUAUUAUUUUAUAAUGUUUUUAGUGAAUGCAACAAAUGUAACUUGAUAAAUAGACGUUUUGCAAAUAAAUUAUCUGCAACAUAAGUGCUCGAUAUAGUAAACGUAAAUUUAAUUAGGUCGAUGUAAAUGAAAAC